rnacentral:rRNA from 1 species
GAUGAACGCUGGCGGCGUGCCUAAUACAUGCAAGUCGAGCGAACGGACGAGAAGCUUGCUUCUCUGAUGUUAGCGGCGGACGGGUGAGUAACACGUGGAUAACCUACCUAUAAGACUGGGAUAACUUCGGGAAACCGGAGCUAAUACCGGAUAAUAUUUUGAACCGCAUGGUUCAAAAGUGAAAGACGGUCUUGCUGUCACUUAUAGAUGGAUCCGCGCUGCAUUAGCUAGUUGGUAAGGUAACGGCUUACCAAGGCAACGAUGCAUAGCCGACCUGAGAGGGUGAUCGGCCACACUGGAACUGAGACACGGUCCAGACUCCUACGGGAGGCAGCAGUAGGGAAUCUUCCGCAAUGGGCGAAAGCCUGACGGAGCAACGCCGCGUGAGUGAUGAAGGUCUUCGGAUCGUAAAACUCUGUUAUUAGGGAAGAACAUAUGUGUAAGUAACUGUGCACAUCUUGACGGUACCUAAUCAGAAAGCCACGGCUAACUACGUGCCAGCAGCCGCGGUAAUACGUAGGUGGCAAGCGUUAUCCGGAAUUAUUGGGCGUAAAGCGCGCGUAGGCGGUUUUUUAAGUCUGAUGUGAAAGCCCACGGCUCAACCGUGGAGGGUCAUUGGAAACUGGAAAACUUGAGUGCAGAAGAGGAAAGCGGAAUUCCAUGUGUAGCGGUGAAAUGCGCAGAGAUAUGGAGGAACACCAGUGGCGAAGGCGACUUUCUGGUCUGUAACUGACGCUGAUGUGCGAAAGCGUGGGGAUCAAACAGGAUUAGAUACCCUGGUAGUCCACGCCGUAAACGAUGAGUGCUAAGUGUUAGGGGGUUUCCGCCCCUUAGUGCUGCAGCUAACGCAUUAAGCACUCCGCCUGGGGAGUACGACCGCAAGGUUGAAACUCAAAGGAAUUGACGGGGACCCGCACAAGCGGUGGAGCAUGUGGUUUAAUUCGAAGCAACGCGAAGAACCUUACCAAAUCUUGACAUCCUUUGACAACUCUAGAGAUAGAGCCUUCCCCUUCGGGGGACAAAGUGACAGGUGGUGCAUGGUUGUCGUCAGCUCGUGUCGUGAGAUGUUGGGUUAAGUCCCGCAACGAGCGCAACCCUUAAGCUUAGUUGCCAUCAUUAAGUUGGGCACUCUAAGUUGACUGCCGGUGACAAACCGGAGGAAGGUGGGGAUGACGUCAAAUCAUCAUGCCCCUUAUGAUUUGGGCUACACACGUGCUACAAUGGACAAUACAAAGGGCAGCGAAACCGCGAGGUCAAGCAAAUCCCAUAAAGUUGUUCUCAGUUCGGAUUGUAGUCUGCAACUCGACUACAUGAAGCUGGAAUCGCUAGUAAUCGUAGAUCAGCAUGCUACGGUGAAUACGUUCCCGGGUCU